CCCGGGUGCCUGCCCCCCGCGAGCCUCAGCGUCCUCCACCGCAAACCCGGAGGCUCUCCGCAGCUAAGGAGCCUAGCGCCGCUGAGGUUCAGACUCGCAAAGCCCACUACGGCAGCCGCGGAGGCACCCGGGAGGCCCCCAAGGUUACCGCCAGGCCCGGAUAGGAACUUCCGGCGCAGCUGACAACGGCGCUCGAGCGCUUCCGCCGGCUCCGCCCCCGCGCCCUCCUACCAGGCGCCACCGCAGCGAGCUGGGUCCUGCCAAUUCCAGGCUCCGCGUUGGGGCCCUGCAGGUGAAAGUCAGGUACAGAAUCUUCUCCCAUCCCACCGUGCCCUUCUCCCAGUGCCAAAUCAUCCAACCUGGGGACUGGGUUGUUGGAAGUAGUACCAUUCACCAAAGAUUGCUUGUUUUGAAGGAAGCCAGUGUUGCAAGGAUAUUGAAGCAGCCCCACAGAGAAGCCCAGAUGAAGAGAACUGACCUGCCAGCCAUAUGUCUCCCCAAAUUGUAUAAGCUUAGGCUCUGAAAAAUUCCUAAGAAUUCAGUGUGCUGCCAGGCGUGAUGGCUCAUGCCUGUAAUCCAAGCACUUUGGAGGCCAAGGCAGGCAGAUCACCUGAAGUCGGGAGUUCAAGACCAGCCUGACCAACACGGUGAAACCCCGUCUUAAGAAAAAAAAAAAAAAUUCAGUGUGAUAAAGAGUCUAGUACCUUCUAGAAAUGCCUCGAAAGUGUCAAUUUUAACUUGCAACAGUUUAUUAGCUAUUACAAGUCCAAAUGACUACUCUUCGGCCCUUCUUCCAAAAUAGUAAGAUUUCUAGAAGAAGAGAUUGUGUUGAAAUCUUUACAAGCUCAGUAGUAGACCUUCCUUCCACACCAAUAUUUAGGAUUUUUGUCCUCUUGAUUCAUUAUUGAAUUUAGUUAAAGUUUCUAUUGAAAUUUUAAUUCUGAAUAACAAGUAAACUUAAUAAGCAAUUAAAAAUGAGAUGUUGAAAUAGAGUUAUUUUGCAGAUUUGUUGCACGUUCAUGACUUGAAAACGUUAGAGGUAAAAACCAUGAGCAUCUUUGUUUCUAUUUAGAUGGAUAUUUAUCAUUAUUUGUGAGAUAUGUCCAGGAUGGUUUUACUUUAAAACCACAAAUACAGUUUUAACAAUGGG
rnacentral:lncRNA from 13 species